rfam:Ictidomys tridecemlineatus contig050936, whole genome shotgun sequence.
GGGGAUGUAGCUCAAGGGUAGAGUACUUGCUUAAGCAUGCAAGAGACUCUGGGUUCAAUUCCUAGUGCCA